UCAGAGGACAUUGAAGGUGCAACUAUCUACUUAGAUGCGGGAUGUACUGAGAGUUUCCAGUUUCUCGGAGCAUUCCCUCUGUUACUGGAGCUUGGAGUACAUGCUUUUUGCAGCUUGGAAGACAUGUCUCCUCUUGAUAUGUGUUGAUUGUGGGGUCAUCGUUAUCUUCUUGAUGAAGCAUUAUCUAAUGAACCAAGAACGGAGCAAAGUAAUAAGUAUUGAGGAGUGUAGGAAAACAAGAGCCAAGAUGAUACUUGCUUUUUUGAGUGAUCAAAGCAAGUCGAGCACUUCUAAGUUGAAACAAGCAUCUCCUUUUGCUCUUUAUGCUUGUUAAUGCCUGUCUGAAGGUUGAAUUUACUGAAAACAAGUUGUGCAGUUUGUAUUUCUCUUUCAAUAAACUGAAGGUGUUUGUUGAAGAUCAAAAUUCUGUCUACUAUGUUGGAAGGAUUUUGUUAAGUUGCUGGUUGAUCUGUUAAAACUAAUGGAAUUGACAGAACACAUCCUAUUUUGUAAUUUUGUAUUGUAACUAGGUUGACAUCAUGGAUUUA